CGACUCGACUCUGUAGCCUGGAGGAACGUGAACGGGUUGGGUCGCGGUGUACCCCGGUUCAAGACUUGUACUCGAGCCGGCCGGAGCCGCGGCUAACGUGGUAUUGGCACUCCCGUCUCGACCCAGCCUACAAAAAUCCAGGAUACGGAAUCGAGUCGUUUUGCUGGUUGCUGAAUGGCAGGGAAGUGAGUCCU
rnacentral:ncRNA from 1 species